rnacentral:lncRNA from 1 species
GGGGACUGUGUGGAAGGAGACAGAGUAGAGAGGGUAUGUGAAGACCAGAGGAGCCACAGCUGUUUUUCUCUCUGAGUCAAAUCCUACUCAGGUUCUUUGUCCCACGAUCCCUGUCCCAACCCACAGCCCACAGCGAUUGCUCCAUUCCUUACGCCCUCCUCUAAGGAAUCUGAGCUUCUUGUCUUGUUCCACCUAAAGCGUGACCACACUGAGGUGUUUUGAGACAACAACAAAGCUGGUUCCCACCUCUCUGGCUAUGACUUCCUGGGUGACUGCUUGGAGGAAAAGAGGACCACAAGGAGACUGGUGCACAGAAUUCAUGAGCCUGACUGUCUCCCUGUCUCAUAGUCUUGGUCUAGGGAAUGCGAUCUAUGACUGGAAUGACUGGAGCAAGCAACCCUGGAGCCAGAGGACAAAGGGAUCUUCACCUUGGAUGGUGUGGCAAAUGCCAGAUUCGUCUGCAAGAUGCCAUUUGAAUAAAAGUUGAAGACAGAAGAACAAUUUUCCAUAAGUGGACUCAACGCAAAUGUUUUACUGAGUUUCUAUUGCUGUGAUGAAACACCAUGAUCAGAAACAAGUUGGGGAGGAAAGGGCUUAUUGGGUUUAUACUUCCACAUCAUAGUCUAUCAUUGAAGGAAGCCAGGACAGGGACUCAAGCAGGGCUGGAAUGUGGAGGCAGGAGCUGAUGCAGAGGCUGUGGAGGAUUGCUAAUUACUGGCUUGCCCAUCAUGCCUCGUUCAGCCUGCUUUCUUAUAGAACCUAGGACCACCAGCCCGGGGAUGACAGCGCCCACAAUGUGCU